UUUCAUAUCAUUGGUGACAGUCUUAUUUUUUACUGAUUAUGGCUUAAAUUCAGGUAGUAAUUAUGAGUUUGAUUUUUGUACCCAUUUGAUUUUUGUCCAUGAAAGUGAGUAGUAAAUUAAGAAAAGAUCUUUUCUUAGAAUAAAGGGAAACUGCAAAUCUGUGUUAAUCCUUGAAUAGAUGGUUGCUUUCAGCACUGCUUUCAAAUGCAGAUUAUAUAAAUAAAUUAAUGUUUAGUUCAUUUAAAGUUGCACAAUUUUCAAAUGUAAGUAAUUGCUUUAAUUUUGGAUUACUCCCUUGGUUUCUUCUUCCUCUGUUUUCAGUUUGAAAUUUGACAAAAUAUAGAUGUUAAGACCAGCUUUUGACCAUCUUUGUCCCUUCUUCUUUUGUACACUCAUAAACAUUCAGGGUUAUCUCAUUUAGUAAAUGCUUCAUGGUAUAUUGUAUAUGUAUGUAUCAUAUUAUUUUGGGCAUUCUCUUUAUAUUUUAACCUAUAUAUUGUAGUAUUUAUUGUGAAUAGAUUUCAUCAUUUCUGUUAAACACAAUAACCACUGAAAACAGUUUUUGGUUCCUCUCUUUCUGGAUUUACUGUAUAUUUAUAUAGUUCUUAUGCAAGAUUUGAAGGGUUAAGAUACAUGUUUAACAUUAUAUAACAACUGUUGUUCCUCAAUUAAAAAACAUGUUUUUUUGUCACAUUACCGCUAAAAUCUCAUUUAAAAGCUUUUGAUAAAAUUCAUAAUACUAUGUUUAUAUCCUCAUAUAAGAUGUUGACAGCUAGAUCUAUGUUUUAACAUUGUAUACUCUGCUAAAAUAUUAUAUCUUUAGGAGCUUUCCUUUUAUCUUGGGUGCUUUGUAUCUAAAUGUGCAGUAUUAAUGCAUAUUGAAUUAUUUUGGGUUAAUCAUAGCCCCCAAUAUUAUUGAAUAUUUCACAUCUAUUUGUUAUGAAUUCGUUUUGGGUAAAUAGUCGACUGAUAUUCUGAUCAUGCUUUACUCUAACCAAACUGAUAUAUUAGAAGACUAUUGACCUGCUCUAUCUGUUUCUUCUUUCUGUACUUAAAAUAUUCAUCGUCAUUGAUACUCAUAUUGUGAUAUCAACACUUUCAGUUUUCAGACCAGAGCUAUAUCAUAAAUAUUUAGAAGGAAUCCACCUCAUGUUGUGUACACAUUGGGAUAAUUUGUUGAUUUGUUCAAUUAGAAUAUUAUGUAUGGAACAGAUACAUUGAAUAAAUAAUGCAAAAGAACUUUAUUUUACUCCUAAUUGUUUAAAAGGGUUGUUAGUAAAACAAGUGCCAUAGAAAUACAGGAAUUAUCUUCCCAUUGCAGUUGCCUAUAUAAAAGCGAAAUUUAUCAAUGAUUGUAUUCCUGUUUUUGAUAGUUAAAUAUUCCAAAACAGUUAAAUUAUAUGAAAAUACUAUCUUAUAGAAAUCAUAUCUUUUUUAAGAACUAGCAAGAUCCAUCUCAAUUGUUAUGUUGGUUUGGAAACCAUUAAAAUACUUGAAAAGUCAAUUUCAGAAGAAAGGUGGCAAACUGAAGUUUUUAUCUCACAAAUUUGUUUCUCAGUAGAGAAUUUUGAUAUUGGCUUGCAAUAAUACUUUAAUGGUCAUUUUAUUUAUCUAACAUACUGAUGGGCAUUGUAAUCAGAUCUGUACCAGUCAAGAAAUAUAAGAUAAAAAUUCAUUCAUGUUCUUUUCUAUUAUCCAUUAUCAUUUAAAAAAAAUAUGGAAAUAAUAGGGGCAUUGUUUGAUGUGCAUGUUGUAAUAAUGUACACUGGAAAGAAAUGUCAUCCUUAUUUUGGAAUUUCGGAUACAAGCAUUUAUGAUUAUAUCUCAUACAUUGAAACUUGUGUUGUAAGUGGUUUUGUCAUUUAAAGAUUUAAAGGUUUAGCUAACAAUAGUCUAUAGAAAAAGAGACUGGUGUUUAGAUUAAAAUUAAAAAGUAUGCUCAAUAGUUUUUUACAAGUAUGCAUGUCUUAAUAUACUGGGUAAUCAAAUGUAUUUGUAUGCUAGUCAGAUUGAGUGUACUUUGAAAUGAGAUUUAUUUUUUGUUCAUGUUUUAUAUUAGUAAAAUUUGUUAGGACAUUUGGGAUAUGGUAAUUUGUUUGUUAAAUGUUUUAUAUGUAAUACUUUUAUUUAUCAUAUUGUUAGGAAUUGGUAUUUUUAGUAUUUGAAAAAAUAACACUCACAGUCGAUGCAAGACAGAUUUGCCUAAUGAUAUGUAUGUAAUACACAUGUACAGUAUGAUUAAUGUUUAAAUUUGUAAAACUAUCACAGGGAAAAUAAAUCAGUACGAUUCAGAAUUAAAGCUAUUAUCUGUACCCAAUAAAAAUAAAACGGGUUUGAUGCAUGGCCUUUGAUAUUAGCGGGCAAUUUGUUUUCCAAGUUUAUUCAUCUGUCCUUAUAAAGGUAAAAGUUUUGGUUUAAAAUGUUAAACAAAAUUUGAAGUUGUGGUCAAGUCAUACAACCUUGAAAAUGAGUUUACAUAUAUGGAAUCAUGUGGGAAAACAUGCCUGUGUAUGAAGAUCAAUGCCAAGUUAAAAUUAGACCAAGAAUUCCAGGUUCACUAAACAUGGAAAAUGUUUCAGGAUUAGUUUUUGUGUAAGUUAAUGGGAUAUAAGGUUUAUGACCAAGUUUUAAUGGUUCACUUAAUAUAGAAAUGUAUUAGGUUAAGUGCUUGUUUAGGGUAGUUUAUUAUUAAGUUGUAGUCACAUCAACUUGAAACAUGCAAAAAAGAGUAGUACACAUGUUAAGUAUUUUUAUGAUGCCAAAUCAAAAAAAGUAAUGUUUUUAACCAGAUUGUAUUGUUAAAUGAACAUGAAAAUUUGAAUGUGAGAGAAGGGCAUGGUUCCAAUUGACACAUAUUUUUGUUUACCCUCUGCUUUAAUGAAACAACGGAAACUGUAGUAUCUGUUAUUGACACGUAAGCUGGCUUCUGAAAAGCUGCUGUUAAAAAUGCUUAAAUUUUAUACUCAUUGAAUGUGCAAAAAGCUUGGUCAAAGUAUAUAUCUAAUUCUUAUUAAUACAACUCUACUCAGCAAGUGCUAGUUGUAUUAAUAUUGCAUAAUUUAUAUUUUAUAUUGCUAUAGAUGAAUAGAUAAUUAUAAUUGUAUGAUAAUGAUUUCAGUCGCAUUUGAUUAAUGUGUUUUGUUGAUGAGCUUUUUAUGAAAUUAAAAAACUGUGAUAAAAUUUUGAUUAAACAGGACCCUAAUUGUAAUCAUAAUCAAAUUAUGAAGUAACAUAUUUUUUGUAGGUUUUUGUCCCAUAAACAUGUCUUGAUAGUGUUUAGGUCCACAAGGUACUGUUCUUGUCUUGCAUAGUGGGAGACACUAACAUUUUAAAAGAUAAUUGUGUUAGAUUUUAGUUAGUAGUAGAGGUUAAAAAUGAAUUGAGGAUUAUUUAAAAGGUUAAUUUAUACUCACUGAUUAUAUGUGCAAUAGUGUUGACAUAUUUCCUGACUGUUAGACAUUUUAUGGUGUUUGGCCAAGGAGUAAAAUUCUCGUUUGUUUAUAAAGUAAUGUCAUAAUGUCAUUUACAGAAUUUCCAAAUUGCUUUACAUGAUUUUUUAUGCCUUGGUUUAAUUCUAGAUUAUAGAUGUAGGAGGCAUGUUAUUGAAAAUAUUUAACAGUUUUGGCAUAUAUGAUUGGUUUUUAUGAUGUAGAUGAAAGUUCAUGUUAGAAAAUGUUUAUUAUGUAUUUCAAGAUGUGAUUUGAAAAAUUAAGUCUUGAAGGAAGAUAUCUAUUUAACUUCAAAUUUCUUCUGAUGCAAUGUAUAACUUUUUACUGACUGAAACAUUGUUUUUUUUAUUCAUGUAUGUUUCAUAGAAAUGCUACAAUUUUGAAAUGUAGAUUAGAUUAUUUAUUUCUUAUAUAUCGCUCUAGGCAUUACAGUUGCUUGUCUGUUUAUAUCAAUUUUUUAAAAGUUAAUAUUCCAUUAGAAGAACAUCCGUAACAUUUUCAUUUAUAUCAAAUACUAGAAAUUACUCAAAAUUAAUGAAUAAAAUCGUAUUUAAUGUUAUUGAAAAGAAAUACAGUCAAGGUUAGCAAAAGUUAGAAUAAAGUCACAGAAUAGGAAUUGAUUCUUGGAUGUCAAAAUCAUGAUAGUCCAGGCUUUCUUUUAUAAUGUAUCUGAUGAAAUUUUGAUUUAAAAAACAUUUGAAUACACAUCUUAUGCUUUUACAGGUCAGAGAAUAUUCUUUGUUGAAUCAUGGAAUACGAUUUAUUUUUUUCCAUUUGUAAUUAUUAUAUGAAAAUGUUAUUUUGAUUUAUAACAAUUAUUUGAAUAAUAUUUGUCAUGUCCAUUGUAGUAUUGACAUACUGUAGGUAAACAAAAUUGAAAGAGUAUCUAAUUCACAUAUGCACAGAAAAGUACUAUUUGAAACCUUUAUUUAUACUGCUGUUUAUGUUUAUACUUGCAUUUAUUUGUUUUCUUUAUUAUAAAGGAAUUUCAAGUAUGUCAACUUUCCUAAUAAAUAAAAAUUAUACAA
rnacentral:lncRNA from 1 species